UGUAAGCGUAUACCAAAGUUGUUGCAGUUAAAACGCUCGUAGUCGGAAUUUGGCAGUUCCGGAUGUGUGCACGUCGUGUGCGCACUUCGCGGGGAUUGCUUUUGUGGUCUUGCGUAGGAUGAGGCACUUUUAUUAGUGAACGUCCUCACGCAACCACUUUUUACUGUGAGAAAAUCAGAGUGCUCAAAGCAGGCAUUUGCCGUGAAUGUAUUAGCAUGGAAUAAUAGAAUAGGACUUGGUUCUAUUUUGUUGGUUUGUUUGGACUGAGUAAUGAUUAAGAGGGACAGUUGGGGGCAUUUGUAUUUCGGUGCUAGAGGUGAAAUUCUUAGAUUACCGAAAGACAAACUGCUGCGAAAGCGUCUGCCAAGGAUGUUUUCAUUGA
rnacentral:rRNA from 1 species